AACGAGGCCGACCUGCGGCUGAGUUACCUGCGGAGGGAUCAUUACACAAUACAAUAUGAAGGCUGUCCGCAGCUGGAGUAUUUUAUUACCCUUGUCUUUUGCGCACUUGUUGUUUCCUGGGCGGGUUCGCUCGCCACCAGGACCACCAAAUAAACCUUUUUUAUGCAGUUGCAAUCAGCGUCAGUACAAACAAUGUAAAUCAUUUACAACUUUUAACAACGGAUCUCAGAUCGGAAGAGC
rnacentral:misc_RNA from 1 species